CCUACGCGUGGCAGCAGUGGGGCAUCUUCCGCAAUGGGCGAAAGCCUGACGGAGCAACGCCGCGUGAUCGAAUGAAGGCCUUCGGGUUGUAAAGAUCUGUUGACAGGGACGAAUAAGCCAUGCGAAUAGUUUGUUGUAUGACGGUACCUGUUUAGAAAGCUCCGGCUAACUACGUGCCAGCAGCCGCGGUAAUACGGCGGGAGCAAGCGUUGUCUGGAAUUACUGGGCGGAAAGCGCGCGUAGGUGGGUGCUUAAGUCAGGCGUUAAAACUCUGGGCUUAACCUGGAGACUGCACUUGAAACUGGGUAUCUUGAGGGCAGGAGAGGAAAGUGGAAUGUCUAGUGUAGCGGUGAAAUGCGUAGAUAUUAGGAGGAACACCAGUGGCGAAGGCGACUUUCUGGACUGUACCUGACGCUGAGGCGCGAAAGCGUGGGUAGCGAACGGGAUUAGAUACCCGAGUAGUC
rnacentral:rRNA from 1 species